rnacentral:tRNA from 19 species
GGGCGCUUAGCUCAGCGGGAGAGCACUGCCUUCACACGGCAGGGGUCACUGGUUCAAUCCCAGUAGCGCCCACCA